ensembl:lncRNA
GAUUUCCUGGCCAGGGUCCUCUACUGUUGAUAAAGAGCAGGAGGAAGCCGAGGCAGCAGGGGCUGCCCAGGGAAGCCCCGUGGUCCCGGUGGAUCCCUAGUGCUCGUGCUCGGGAGGAGGAGCUUAUAGACAUCUGGUGCACAGGAAACUGAGUUCCAGACGGCGCCGCCGAGAGAGAUUCUAGGCUCCCCGAGCAGGAUUUUGACCCAUCAAGGGGUAGGUGCUAGGGACAGAACCCAGAGCCUGGCUCAUCCUAGAUUCACCUUCCCUCUUCCUGCCGGAGCUGGUCCUCCCCUCAGUGGCCCCAUUGUUCCAUGCCUCAGUCUCAUCUCUUCUUCCCUCUAAACAUGGCUGCUGUCAUCUUGCCCCACAAGAGGAGCCCACGCUCACAUCACUUCCCUCUAGCUAUGUUUCUCGAAGCCAUUAUUUGAAAACUAUUUUCCUUACCAGGAGCCCCAGGCUCUUAGAACUGAAACCAAAACCUCACACAAGAAGGGAGAGCACUGUCCACAUAGAAUCCCAAACUUGGGCACAGAGGGCAAGUUUGGGCAUUGACUCCGUCCACUCCCUCUGCCUCUGUCCCCAUGGUACCGCAGCAACACGAAGACCUCAGAGCCAACAGAACUGUGGAUUAGAGCCAUCAGCCUGGAUGAACGCUUAGAGAUCAUCGAAUCCAACCCCUGUCCAGAUAGGGAAACUGAGGCCCAGAGAGGCAGAAGGCACAGAGCAGUUAGCAAGAAAGCAAGGACAAGACCUCCAGAUGCAACCUCCUGGGGAGGAGGAUGCACAGCCCCGUUCAUGGCCCCGUGUCUCAGCUCAUUCUUACCUCGCCUGGAGUCUGGUCCAGGUGUGGCUUCUUGCGCCUGGCGAUGGGGGGCCAGCCUGUGUGGGGAAUGGUUGGGGGUAUCACUGCUUCACGACUAACUUGACCCAGCCUCUGGCACCCCUCACUGCCACAGGGGCAUUUUUAAGCGACUGGCACUGGACCCCCUCCCCUUAGCCCCUUGCCCGCGGCUCCCUGGCCACAGAGGGUUCUCUGCCUUUUACCUUAUAAGAGCUAAAGAGGCGAGCCUGGUGCUGGGGAGAGGUGGGUGCGGAGUCCUCCCGGGGUCCCCCAUUGGCCCAGGAGCCCAACACGUGACUGCCUCGCCUUGACCUGCCCCUAGUGCCGAAUGUUGCUUUUACCCCCUAAGGAAGGAGUGGUUGACAAUUUUCAUAUUUCUUCUAAAUUUGGAGAUUUCAGACAAUGCUGGGAGGCUUGGCUCCAGCCGCCAGAGGCCCAUGUGGAAGUCAUUAAGCUCCAGGAGGGGGCAGGGGGAGAGAGGGAGGCAGGGCGAAGAGGAGGAGGAGGAGGAAGAGGUGGGGGACGAGCUCUGAGGGCUGCCAGUUGUCAGCCUGGGAACACGAGCAAACUCCCUGGGAGAAAGCUAUGUGUGAGAAUCUCCUUCCUCUCCUGGCUCCCGAGUCCCAGGAAGGAAGUGAGAGUUCUGAGACUUUCUUGGAAUCCCCAGUGAGGAAGGCAUCAGUCUCGGGGUCCUGGGGGUGAUGGGGAUAGCAGGGCAUGGGAGACCACGGGGGAAGUAAGUUUCUUGGAUGGCCAUCCUUGUCACUGUGCAGAGGAGGCCCAGGCCCCCCCACAGCGAGGCUGCCAUAGACAGGGCAGGGGCUGGGAUCAUGGAUGUCCUAUUGCAGGCUCUUGUUCCCUGAGGAGUGAGUAUCUCUCACCAUAGAGGCCUUUCUUAUUGUGCUUUGGCCACCUUGACCUCCUAUAGAUGCCUUAGCUUUUUUUUUUUUUGCCUCAGGGCCUUUGCAUAUACACAUGCUUUCUGUCCAAAAUGCUCUCUUCCUAGAGUGAAUCAUGCCCAAUUCUUUUUUUUUUUUUUUUGGUACCAGGGAUCGAACUUGGGUCCUUCUGCUUGCAAGGCAGGCGGUGGAACCACUGAGCUAAAUCCCCAGCUCUAAUCAUGCCCAAUUCUUUCCCCUGCUCCUAUUCCCGGUUCAACUGUCACUCUGGGCAGAGCCUUCCCCCAGUCACAUCCCUGUUCACCACAACUCCUGCUCACCUGACAGGACUCAGCACGCAUGUGCUCACCUGGCAUGCUUGCUCGUCUAGUUCCUUGCUGUCCAUCUCUUCCGUGAGAACAUGGCUCCCUGGGCAGGGUCUACAUCUCCAGGCUUCCCACAGCGCCUAUAAAGAAUGGUUCAGUAGCAGCCACUUGCCAAGAAGCUGCCACACUGAGGCCUGCAGAGCUCCUCCCAGUGGCCGGCCAUGCCUUGCACCGAAGGUGUGGAGAGCCAGGUCAGAUAUGGCCCUGGCCUUAAGAGGCCCCAUCCAGCCAGGCAUGGUGGCACGUGCCUGUAAUCCCAGCUUUCUGGGAGCCUGAGGCAAGAGGGGACCCUGUUUUAAAAUAAACAACAAAAAAGGGCUAGGGCUGUAGCUCAGUACGUAAGCCCUGUGUUCAAUCACCAGUACCCUUCCCCCGAGAAUUGUGAGUACAAGAGCCCAACAUACAGCGGACUUGUCAUUAACAUCACCUCCUUCUUUCCUGAACCCCAAAG